rnacentral:rRNA from 1 species
GGUUCAUUCAAAUUUCUGCCCUAUCAACUUUCGAUGGUCGGAUAGUGGCCUACCAUGGUUUCAACGGGUAACGGGGAAUUAGGGUUCUAUUCUGGAGAGGGAGCCUGAGAAACGGCUACCACAUCCAAGGAAGGCAGCAGGCGCGCAAAUUACCCAAUCCCGACCGGGGAGGUAGUGACAAUAAAUACUGAUACAGGGCUCUUUUGGGUCUUGUAAUUGGAAUGAGUACAAUUUAAAUCCCUUAACGAGGAACAAUUGGAGGGCAAGUCUGGUGCCAGCAGCCGCGGUAAUUCCAGCUCCAAUAGCGCAUAUUAAAGUUGUUGCAGUUAAAAAGCUCGUAGUUG